GACGAACGCUGGCGGCGUGCCUAACACAUGCAAGUCGAACGGAGAAAUUCAGCAAUGGAUUUCUUAGUGGCGAACGGGUGAGUAACGCGUAGACAACCUGCCUCUAAGUUGGGGACAACACUGCGAAAGUGGUGCUAAUACCGAAUGUUCUUUAUCGGGUGCAUGCCCGGUAAAGCAAAGGUGGCCUCUAUUUAUAAGCUACCGCUUGGAGAUGGGUCUGCGUCUGAUUAGCUAGUUGGUGGGGUAAUGGCUCACCAAGGCGACGAUCAGUAGCCGGGCUGAGAGGCUGUCCGGCCACACGGGCACUGAGACACUGGCCCGACUCCUACGGGAGGCUGCAGUCGCGAAUUUUUCUCAAUGGGCGCAAGCCUGAAGAAGCCAUGCCGCGUGCGGGACGAAGGCCCUCUGGGUUGUAAACCGCUGUCAGGGAAGGGGAAACGCGGCGCGUUAACAGCGCGUCGUUUGACUGCUUUCCAAAGGAAGCCCCGGCAAAACAUGUGCCAGCAGCCGCGGUAA
rnacentral:rRNA from 1 species